rnacentral:rRNA from 1 species
AGCGAACGCUGGCGGCAGGCCUAACACAUGCAAGUCGAGCGCCCCGCAAGGGGAGCGGCAGACGGGAGAGUAACACGUGGGAACGUACCCUUUGGUUCGGAACAACCCAGGGAAACUUGGGCUAAUACCGAAUAAGCCCUUACGGGGAAAGAUUUAUCGCCGAAGGAUCGGCCCGCGUCUGAUUAGCUAGUUGGUGGGGUAACGGCUCACCAAGGCGACGAUCAGUAGCUGGUCUGAGAGGAUGAUCAGCCUCACUGGGACUGAGACACGGCCCAGACUCCUACGGGAGGCAGCAGUGGGGAAUAUUGGACAAUGGGCGCAAGCCUGAUCCAGCCAUGCCGCGUGGGUGAUGAAGGCCCUAGGGUUGUAAAGCCCUUUCGGCGGGAAAGAUAAUGACGGUACCCGCAGAAGAAGCCCCGGCUAACUUCGUGCCAGCCGCCGCCGUAA